rnacentral:tRNA from 1 species
GAUGUUAAGACGAUGCACCACCGCACCCAAAGACA